AUGGUGAGCCCAGGCGGCGCUCCUCUCUCCGGGCGGAGGCGGGGCGGGGUCGGGGCGCAUGAUGCGCUCUUGCCAGUCGGAGGGGAGCAUGCAGGGGUUCCCAGGGAGAGGCAGGUUUGCACUCUUCUCUCCCCUCACAGGCAUCACGGGAGACGUGUGAAGGAUUUUCAGCCAGAAGACUGUAAGCGCCUCACAGCGCUCCGGGAUGGAUCGCACCCCUCGGGGCAGAGCCUGCCCAGACACUGCCAGGACGCGGCACCGGAGGAGGAGGCCACGCGGGGCUUCUGUCCCCCACGCUGGGCCUUACUGCAGCCUCCGCUUCAUUGGCUGCUCCCUGCAUUAACCCGAUCUCAACGAUCCCAAAACUCGGAGAGGGGAUGGGCCGAGAAAGCACUGGUGGGAGGCCCAAGGCCCGGGCCCAGCCUCAGUCGCAUUUCCCCUGCCCUGGGCUCCGGGCUCCGCGGCCUGCUGAUGUGUGCAGCCUCCCUCUUGCCGCGUUCUCUCUGCACCUCCUCACAUGGGCCCGCAGCAAGCUCAGUGGGCCGGGCCAGUGGCUGCUCACACCAGGGCAGGAGAGCAGAGGAGAGCGCCCCAACCCCUGUUCAGUGCCAAGCAGGAGCUCACCUGUCGCCAGGGUGGCCAGAGAGCAUACAGGGGGGUGAGGACCACACUCAGCCAGAAAAAGGGCACGUUGCCCCCGGACCCAGGAGAGAAGGCCAGUGGGUGGCCAGGAAAAACCUGGAAAACCAGAAGAGGGAGCCUUCAAAGAUGACACCAAGGCUAAGGAAAAAUGAUCAGAGAUCAGGAUGGUGAGUUAAGGGCUGGAGGCAGAGCCAGAAACCACCACCGGCCCAAGCAAGAGGGAGCACAGGCAAGGUGAGAGAGACAGGGGAGAAAGGUCCGGCAUUUACUUCUGGGCCUUGCGACCUGAAUGGCAAGCAAGUGAUGCCACUGAAAGAAGGGUGUGCGUCAGGGACUCCCCGGUGGGUCAGCGGUUAAGCGUCUGCCGUCAGCCCAGGGCAGGAUCCUGGAGACCCGGGAUUGAGUCCCGCAUCGGGUUUCCUGCAUGGACCCUGCUUCUAUGUCUCUGCCUCUCUCUGUGUCUCUCAAUAAAUAAAUUAAAAAAAAAAAAAAAAAAAAAAAG
rnacentral:lncRNA from 12 species